GUACACUCCUGCGGGAGGCAGCAGUGGGGAAUUUUGGACAAUGGGCGAAAGCCUGAUCCAGCCAUGCCGCGUGCAGGAUGAAGGCCUUCGGGUUGUAAACUGCUUUUGUACGGAACGAAACGGCCUUUUCUAAUAAAGAGGGCUAAUGACGGUACCGUAAGCAUAAGCACCGGCUAACUACGUGCCAGCAGCCGCGGUAAUACGUAGGGUGCAAGCGUUAAUCGGAAUUACUGGGCGUAAAGCGUGCGCAGGCGGUUAUGUAAGACAGUUGUGAAAUCCCCGGGCUCAACCUGGGAACUGCAUCUGUGACUGCAUAGCUAGAGUACGGUAGAGGGGGAUGGAAUUCCGCGUGUAGCAGUGAAAUGCGUAGAUAUGCGGAGGAACACCGAUGGCGAAGGCAAUCCCCUGGACCUGUACUGACGCUCAUGCACGAAAGCGUGGGGAGCAAACAGGAUUAGAUACCCUGGUAGUCCCA
rnacentral:rRNA from 1 species